GAACGAGAAAAUUUACUUCGGUAGAUGAGUAAAGUGGCGAACGGGUGAGUAAUGCGUGGGUAAUCUACCCUAAAACCAGGAAUAACACUUCGAAAGAGGUGCUAAUACCUGAUAAUAUUCUUAUUUUUCAGGAAAUAAGAAUCAAAGAUGGCUUCAUAAAGCUAUCAUUUUAGGAUGAGCUCACGUACCAUUAGCUAGUUGGUGAGGUAAUGGCUCACCAAGGCUAUGAUGGUUAGCUGGUCUGAGAGGAUGAUCAGCCACACUGGCACUGAGACACGGGCCAGACUCCUACGGGAGGCAGCAGUGGGGAAUCUUGCGCAAUGGGGGAAACCCUGACGCAGCAACGCCGUGUGAGCGAUGAAGGCCUUCGGGUUGUAAAGCUCUGUCAGGUGGGAAGAAAUGUUUUUUUCUAAAUAGGAAAAAGAUUUGACGGUACUACCAAAGGAAGCACCGGCUAACUCCGUGCCAGCAGCCGCGGUAAUACGGGGGGUGCAAGCGUUAUUCGGAAUUAUUGGGCGUAAAGCGCGUGUAGGUGGUUUAGUAAGUCGAGUGUGAAAUGUCUUGGCUCAACCAAGAAACUGCAUUCGAUACUGCUAAUCUUGAGUACGGGAGAGGAGAGCGGAAUUCCCAGUGUAGAGGUGAAAUUCGUAGAUAUUGGGAGGAACGCCAGUGGCGAAGGCGGCUCUCUGGAACGAUACUGACGCUGAGACGCGAAAGCGUGGGGAGCAAACAGGAUUAGAUACCCUGGUAGUCCACGCCGUAAACGAUGGGCACUAGGUGUAGGGGGUGUUGACCCCCCCUGUGCCGAAAGCUAACGCAUUAAGUGCCCCGCCUGGGGAGUACGGCCGCAAGGCUAAAACUCAAAGGAAUUGACGGGGGCCCGCACAAGCGGUGGAGCAUGUGGUUUAAUUCGAUGCAACGCGAAGAACCUUACCUGGGUUUGACAUCCUCUGGAAAAUUGUCAAGAGACAAUUUGCUGCUUCGGCAGACCAGAAGACAGGUGCUGCAUGGCUGUCGUCAGCUCGUGUCGUGAGAUGUUGGGUUAAGUCCCGCAACGAGCGCAACCCUUGCCCUUAGUUGCCAUCAUUAAGUUGGGCACUCUAAGGGGACUGCCGGUGUUAAGCCGGAGGAAGGUGAGGAUGACGUCAAGUCCUCAUGGCCUUUAUGCCCAGGGCUACACACGUGCUACAAUGGCCGGUACAAAGGGCUGCUAUCCUGUGAGGGGGCGCUAAUCCCAAAAAGCCGGUCUCAGUUCGGAUUGGAGUCUGCAACUCGACUCCAUGAAGUCGGAAUCGCUAGUAAUUGUGGAUCAGAACGCCACGGUGAAUACGUUCCCGGGCCUUGUACACACCGCCCGUCACACCACGAAAGCUGAUUGUACCAGAAGUCG
rnacentral:rRNA from 1 species